UAUUGCACAAUGGGGGAAACCCUGCUGCAGCGACGCCGCGUGAGCGAAGAAGUAUUUCGGUAUGUAAACCUCUAUCAGCAGGGUAGAAAAUGACGGUACCUGACUAAGAAGCACCGGCUAAAUACGUGCCAGCAGCCGCGGUAAUAAGUAUGGUGCAAGCGUUAUCCGGAUUUACUGGGUGUAAAGGGAGCGUAGACGGUUGUGUAAGUAUGAUGUGAAAGCCCGGGGCUCAACCCCGGGACUGCAUUGGAAACUAUGUAACUAGAGUGUCGGAGAGGUAAGCAGAAUUCCUAGUGUAGCGGUGAAAUGCGUAGAUAUUAGGAGGAACACCAGUGGCGAAGGCGGCCUACUGGACGAUCACUGACGUUGAGGCUCGAAAGCGUGGGGAGCAAACAGG
rnacentral:rRNA from 1 species